rnacentral:lncRNA from 1 species
UGAUUUUUAUUUUUUCACAUUUUAUUUCAUUGAUUUUCUAUUUUUUUUCAUGAAUUUUCUCUUUUCUUCCUUGUUUUAAUUUGUUUAAAAAUACUUUUCUGCAUUUUAAAAUUCUGAAAAUUUUAUUUUAUGGUUCUCAUUUUAUUUCCAACCUUCCAUUAUUUUCAUUUUAAAAAUCAUUUUAAAAUACCUUUGAUGCAUUUUUAUUUUAUUUUAUUGCAUUUUAAAUUUGUAUGACCUUGUGGACUUCUGUGGCCUUGGAUCAUGAUAAUUU